rnacentral:rRNA from 1 species
GCCAGACUCCUACGGGAGGCAGCAGUGAGGAAUAUUGGUCAAUGGCCGGGAGGCUGAACCAGCCAAGUCGCGUGAGGGAAGACGGCCCUACGGGUUGUAAACCUCUUUUGUCAGGGAGCAAGGUGCAGGUCGGGACCUGCUGUGAGAGUACCUGAAGAAAAAGCAUCGGCUAACUCCGUGCCAGCAGCCGCGGUAAUACGGAGGAUGCGAGCGUUAUCCGGAUUUAUUGGGUUUAAAGGGUACGUAGGCGGUCCGGAAAGUCAGCGGUAAAAGCCCGGGGCUCAACCCCGGCGAGCCGUUGAAACUGUCGGACUAGAGACGGCGAGAAGUACGCGGAAUGCGCGGUGUAGCGGUGAAAUGCAUAGAUAUCGCGCAGAACUCCGAUUGCGAAGGCAGCGUACCGGCGCCGGACUGACGCUGAGGCACGAAAGCGUGGGUAUCGAACAGGAUUAGAUACCCUUGUA